GACACACGACCGGGCACGGGUGAGUACGCGUUUGCAUUACCUCUAACUGGAGAUAGCCGAAGAAAUCGGAUUAUACUCCAUAAUAUUAGGAAUUCGCAUGAUUUCCUAAUUAAAGCUCCGGCGGUUAGAGAUGAGCAUGCGUGUCAUUAGCUAGUUGGUAAGGUAACGGCUUACCAAGGCGACGAUGACUAGGGGGUCUGAGAGGAUGGUCCCCCACACUGGUACUGAGACACGGACCAGACUCCUACGGGAGGCAGCAGUGAGGAAUAUUGGGCAAUGGGCGCAAGCCUGACCCAGCCAUGCCGCGUGCAGGAUGACUGCCCUAUGGGUUGUAAACUGCUUUUAUACGGGAAGAAUGGUUCCUACGUGUAGGGAUUUGACGGUACCGUAAGAAUGAGCAUCGGCUAACUCCGUGCCAGCAGCCGCGGUAAUACGGAGGAUGCAAGCGUUAUCCGGAUUCAUUGGGUUUAAAGGGUGCGCAGGCGGAAUAUUAAGUCAGUGGUGAAAUCCUGCAGUUAAACUGUAGAACUGCCAUUGAUACUGAUAUUCUUGAAUAUAGUUGAGGUGGGCGGAAUGUGUAUUGUAGCGGUGAAAUGCUUAGAUAUUACACAGAACACCGAUUGCGAAGGCAGCUCACUAAACUAAUAUUGACGCUGAGGCACGAAAGCGUGGGGAGCGAACAGGAUUAGAUACCCUGGUAGUCCACGCUGUAAACGAUGAUCACUCGCUGUUGGCAAUACAUCGUCAGCGGCUGAGCGAAAGCAUUAGUUGAUCCACCUGGGGAAUACGAUCGCAAGAUUGAAACUCAAAGGAAUUGACGGGGGCCCCGCACAAGCGGUAGAACCAUGUGGUUAAAUUCGAUGAUACGCGAGUGACCUUACCUGGGCUUUAAUUGCAGAACGACGUUUCGGGAAAACCGGAAUUUCUUGCGGACGCGACUGCUAAGGUGCUGCAUCGGCUGUCGUCAGCGUCGUGCCGUGUAGGUGUCGCGGUUAAGUGCCCAGUAACGUAGCGCAACCCUGUAUCGUGUAGUUGCCAGCAGGGUUUCGCCGGGGACUCUAACGUAACUGCCGCGUGUAUACCGUGAGAUAGGUGGGGAUGACGUCAAGUCAGCACGGCCCUUAUGUCCAGGGCUACACACGUGUUACA
rnacentral:rRNA from 1 species